UGGCUCAAUGGUUAAGAGCACUGGUUGCCCUUCCAGAGGACCUGGGUUUGAUUCCCAG
rnacentral:tRNA from 1 species